UGUGCGAUAGACAUCUAAAGCAUGGAUUCGCAGUGCACAGCUGUCUAACUAAUUGGCUACUGAAUUACUAGACGACACGAAGCAAUGUUCAAACUGUAUCACCUACCCCGUGCUCGGUCUGUCCCCAGGGGAUGACAUAAGCUCUGGAUUCGUUGUCUUUUAUGGCUGUGGAGGGGGUGUUUUGAGCGUGAUCUACUGCAGUAUGGCGAUAACAAUGCCACUAAAAGGCUUAACGAGCAUCUUCGCAAAGGGCACGAAUCACGGGGGAGGGGGUUAAACAGGACGUGGCUUAUCUUGUCACGAAAAAUCUGCCCGAGGCUCUCUCGGUGCUGACUCGCAUUUAUCUUUGGUGAAGUGCUGAUUCUGAGAUCUGGCGAGAGAAAGAUAUGUCACAAUUUAUAGUGGUAUAAUAUGAAUUUUCAAGAUGUACAUCGAGUGUUUCAAUUUAUUGGAAACUGGAGGUUCAACAGAUAUUAAUUCGAAAUUGUUCUGUA